rnacentral:rRNA from 1 species
AUACAGAGGGUGCGAGCGUUAAUCGGAAUGACUGGGCGUAAAGCGCGCGUAGGCGGAUGAUUAAGUCAGUUGUGAAAGCCCUGGGCUCAACCUAGGAACUGCAUCUGAUACUGGUCAUCUAGAGUUUAAGAGAGGGAAGUGGAAUUCCAGGUGUAGCAGUGAAAUGCGUAGAUAUCUGGAGGAACAUCAAUGGCGAAGGCGACUUCCUGGCUUAGAACUGACGCUGAGGUGCGAAAGCGUGGGUAGCGAACGAGAUUAGAAACCCUAGUAGUCC